UGGGUGAUCAGUAUUAAUAGUUUAUUGAUCUGACUGAUGGUGGUGGAUCAGUAUUAAUAGGUUAUUGAUCUGACUGAUGGUGUGGAUCAGUAUUAAUAGGUUAUUGAUCUGACUGAUGGUGGUGGAUCAGUAUUAAUAGGUUAUUGAUCUGACUGAUGGUGUGGAUCAGUAUUAAUAGGUUAUUGAUCUGACUGAUGGUGUGGAUCAGUAUUAAUAGGUUAUUGAUCUGACUGAUGGUGGUGGAUCAGUAUUAAUAGGUUAUUGAUCUGACUGAUGGUGUGGAUCAGUAUUAAUAGGUUAUUGAUCUGACUGAUGGUGUGGAUCAGUAUUAAUAGGUUAUUGAUCUGACUGAUGGUGGUGGAUCAGUAUUAAUAGGUUAUUGAUCUGACUGAUGGUGUGGAUCAGUAUUAAUAUGUUAUUGAUCUGACUGAUGGUGUGGAUCAGUAUUAAUAGGUUAUUGAUCUGACUGAUGGUGUGGAUCAGUAUUAAUAGGUUAUUGAUCAGACUGAUGGUGGUGGUUC